UCACUCCAAAAACAAAUAAUUGAAAAGAGAAAAAAGCCAGAAUUAUUUUGGAAGUUAUCUGUGUGUUGGAAAGUAUGAAUUUGACAUGGUCUCUUUUCUCUGAGGAAUUAAACCAAAACAGUAGGAAGUUGGUAGUAGUAGAUAGAAAUGUGCUAACUCUAAUCACUUGAGAGUGAGAGUGGGUUGCAGGGUGGAACAAAAGAUUCAGUUGGGUUUUUCACCUGAACUGGACUUGAACAGAGUGAAGCCUAGAGAGCAAAACUCCCUCCCACACUUAGCAUGAGUGAAGGGGAUGCGGUGUGCCAUCUUGUCCAGGGGUGAUUUCCUUUGGAGGAUAUAGAAUUGGAGGCUGAGGUUAGUUUGUAACACCUUGGAAAGUAAAGGUUUGACUGAGUUACUGUAUUGAAAAUGGCGAAUGACUUCAGUAUAUCGCUGUGGAAGAUUUCAUAUAGUUCAAUUGCUUCCUCAGAUUUGGUUCUGUUGCUUGUUUGAACGGUUUAGAGUUGUGCUGUUCAGUAUAAAAAUCACUAACUCCAAAUUUUGGUAGAUGGGGCAAAAGGACAAUAAUAUAGAGAAUUUCAGGAUAGCCAAGGCUACACAGAGAAACCCUGUCUCAAAAACAAAAACAAACAAAAUAAUAAUAAUAAUAUAGAGAAUUUAUUUAAGUCUACAUGAAAGAAACUGUGUCUCAGAUUACAAAAGAUAUAUAUAUAUAUAUAUAAUCAUGUAAAAAUAUGACUACUAGAAAAUUUAAAAUUGUGGAUGUAGCCACAUUAAUUUUCUGUUAUACUUUAGUGGCCUAGAACAACCCCCAUUAGAAGUAUUUUGCUGUAGAGCAUCUUGUACAUCCCUCCAGAGACUUGAUUUCAUUAGGAACAUUUGGCUCAGUUGAUAAAGUGCUUGCCUAAUAUGCAUAGAACCUCAACUUUAAUCACUUUCCUUUGUAACCAGCCAAGGCUGACCCUUAACCUCCUAAUCCUCUUUGUUUCUCCCUCCCUAGGGCUGGGAUUAUUAGCUUUGUCAUCAAACUUGAUACUUUGCUAUAAAAAGAAGAGUCCAGUUCUAAAUUUGUGUAAUCAUGUCUCCUCUCAGUUUUUCAUUCUUACAUUAAUAUAGCAAUAUUUGUAUAUGCUUUACCUUGAGUUUUCAAGUGUUAGGGGAGCAGUAUAUUUAAAUAUUUCUUGUUUUUUGGUGUUUUGGGGGCUGGAGGUCUCUACAUAGUCCUGGAACUCACAGUGUAGACCAGGCUGACCUUGAACUCAGAGAUCCACCUGCUUCUGACUCCCAAGUGCUGGGAUUAAAGGUAUGCACCACUGCAACUAACUAUAUAUUACUAUUGACAUACUUAAUUUCAAAUAAUUUACACAUCAAGGUACAAUAUCUGUAAUUAUUAAAAUUUAUGUGGAUUAGGACUAGAGAAAUGGUUUUGCAGUUAAGAGCACUUGUUCCUAAGUCUUGAGUUUCAGUUUCCAGUACUACAUGGCAGCUCUCGGUUAUUUGUAACUCCAGAUCUAGGGAAUUCAUCUCCUUUUUCUGACCUCUGUUGACACAGGGCAUGCAUGUACACAGAUAUAUAUGCAGGCACAAGACUCAUCCGCAUAAAUUUAGUAAAAUUUCUCUAGAUUGUUAAUUAAAUUUUUGAGACAGUCUCAUAAUACAAGCUGAAUUAGAAGUCUUUGUUUUUAUGUAUAUGAAUGUUUUGUCUACGUGUGUGUAAGUACACUUUAUUCAUGCUGGGUACCACUAGAGCCAGAAGAAAGGUUUGGGUCUCCUGGAAUUGUAGUUACAGAUGACUGUAAGCUACCAUGUUGGUGUGUGUGUGGGGAAUCUAAACUCAAGUCCUCUACAAAGCAGCAACCCCUCUUUAACCACUGAGCCAUUACUCCAGUUCCCACCUAGUGACUCUUGGUCCUUGCCUUAGCUUCUCAAGUGCUCGUAUUACAGAUGUACACCGCUAUGCAUGGGUUAGUAGAGGAUUUCUUGCCAAAGAAUGAGGAUAAAAUCUUGCCAGAAAUUUUGUCAUGACUAAGGGAAUUGCUAUUUUAUAAUAGCUAAUGAUCAGAAUUUUCCAAUGUACUAAAUAAGUCUUUGUUGUUUUUGAGGAAAGGUCUCACUAUUUAGACCAAGCUGGCCUCCAACUCUGAGAUUCAGGAGUUUACUACUACAUCUGGCCUAAAUAAAAAUUUAAAGCUCCUAUCCCCUAAACCCUUUCAGUCCAGGCUUUUGCACUAUAUUUGACUAUUGACUCUAGGCUCUUACAGUCUAUCACAGUGGAAACUUCAACCAUUAAAUCAAAACAAACCUGGCUAGUCAUGAAGUCGAACAAAUAAAAAAAUUUUUUUUUUUACAAUUUUUUUCCUUAUCUUUUUAUCUUGCUAUAUAUAGCCUUGGCUGGCCAGCAGCUUGUUAUGCAAACAAGUUUGGCCUUGAAAUCAGUUUUGAAAGUAGGUAAAACAUCAGCAGUUGUGAUGGCCAUGAUGAUGUGUGCUUUUAAUCCCAGUGCUCAGGGCUCCUUGGUCAGUAGCAUUCCAGAACAGCCAGGGUUACAUAGAAAAACCCUGUCUCAAUGUACCACCCCACCCUCACCCCCAGCCCAAAAGAAAAGAAAAACAAGC
rnacentral:lncRNA from 1 species